GGCCGUGUGACGAGUUCAAAGCGAACUAUUCUUUCGCCUUUUACUAAAGAAUACCGUGUGCUCUUCACUUAAAGCGGUAUAUACAUAUUUUUGGAAGAGCUUCCUUUAUGGAAGGCU
rfam:Cajanus cajan chromosome 7, whole genome shotgun sequence.